UACGAAGGGGGCUAGCGUUGCUCGGAAUUACUGGGCGUAAAGGGCGCGUAGGCGGAUAUUUAAGUUAGAGGUGAAAGCCCGGGGCUCAACCCUGGAAUAGCCUUUAAUACUGGAUAUCUUGAGUUCGGGAGAGGUGAGUGGAACUCCGAGUGUAGAGGUGAAAUUCGUAGAUAUUCGGAAGAACACCAGUGGCGAAGGCGACUCACUGGCCCGAUACUGACGCUGAGGCGCGAAAGCGUGGGGAGCAAACAGG
rnacentral:rRNA from 1 species